GUUUGUUUGCUGUGCGGGUUCUCCCUGUUUAUUCUAAACUGCUCCUCACUUGAUUCUAACUAAUAUUAACAUUUUUAGCCUGCAAAUUGGCCAAUGGGCAUCUUUUCUCGAUGACUUUGUCUCAAAUUUGGACAAAAAUGGAUACAUAUUGCCACCGGCGUCUUCCCCUAGGAAUGUUUUUGGUACAUCGUUUUCAUGGAUUAUGAAGAGCCGAAAUUCACGUACAAGGAGCAUCAAAUUAAUAUGUUUUUAGUGUUUUUAAAUCAUUUUGAUGUGCUGAUGUCAAAAAUAAUUUUUAAAAAAUAACUUUUCUCGAUGACUUUGUCUCAAAUUUGGACAAAAAUGGAUACAUAUUGCCACCGGCGUCUUCCCCUAGGAAUUUUUUGGGUACAUCGUUUUCAUGGAUUAUGAAGAGCCGAAAUUCACGUACAAGGAGCAUCAGCUACAGGAUGCGUCUGAGCAAGUUGAAAUAACCCUUUUUUAUUCUCAUUUUCCUACAUCAAACCAAUGCAAAAAAUAAAAUAAAAUAAAUCACUAACAGUUUUUGCACCGCCAACCUGAAUCAAAAGCCGCCGCCACUGGCACCUAAACCAGCUACAAUAGUCGUGAACCUAACCCUCCAACUCAUUAGAAUCAGCCAUUAAACCACUCAACCACAACCUUAAACCACCAAGAUAGCAGCCGCCAACAUAGCCUGAAUCAAACACUACACCAACCGGCAACAGGAGGAAACGACAACUGGCUCGAGCCACUCACAACCGCUAAGUUGAUAUCCACUCAACCACGCCACUAAACCAGUUAACCGAGACAACACCAACAGCCACACUAGCACAAACAACUAAACCAGUAGCCCUCAAAAUAAACCAUAAAUUACAGCCUUUUCCACCCAAAAAUCAAAUCGUUUUCAGCCUUUUUUUUUUUUUUUUUUUUGCAGGUUCAGCGUCGGCGCAUGAGAUACGCAUCGGCGUUCCCCAGCACGACCAGACAUGCCAGCGCUUGAGACGCAAACGCCGACAAGGGUAAAAUAGUUAUUACCCCUUUAUCUUUAUUAUUGUUUACAUGGAUAUUUGAAAUAUUGGGAUCCAACCCAUUGCUUAACAACUCUAUGGAUACGAAACCGCUGAAGAUUUAAUUUUUAGAUUUGAUAACGUUGGGAUCAAUAUCUCAUAAUGAGGUGGGGAGAACAGGUGACAGCGAGAUUAUUCAAUGUGUAAUUGUUUGGCCCAGUAUUGAGAUUUUAUGAGUGGAAGUGUAUGUUUGUUCGUUGUGAAAUUUUGUGCAAGAUAAAGAUUCUCAAUUAUUUCCCUUUUAUUUUAUUAAAUAAAUAUUAGAAUUAUUUUCAUAUAAAAAAUAUUUUUCGCUUUUCUUUGUAUGAUUGUUUUGGGUGUUUAUACAAUAAUCUCGUGUGAAUCUUCGAGGUGGUGGCGGCCAACAAUGAUGCGUGUUGUUUCCGAACGUUUAAAUAUAUUAUGACAACCAAUUUUUGAGACCAUAAUUUUUUUUUAGUAAGAUUAUGCCUGUUUAUUU
rnacentral:lncRNA from 1 species